CUUGCCUGGAGAAUCCCAGGGACGGGGGAGCCUGAUGGGCUGCCGUCUAUGGGGUCGCACAGAGUCGGACAUGACUGAAGCGACUUAGCAGCAGCAGCAGCAACUAGAUUUUGUGGGAAUAGGUUUUUGUGGUGGGGUCCUUGGGUGCACCUUUAUAGGUACUUAUUUUCCCUUUUAAGUGGGAGCAGUGGUGUACACAGUACUGUACAUACAAACAGACAGUCAGCAAGGGCCUAACACACAGUGCAGGGGACUCUACUCAACAUUCUGUAAUAAUCUAUAUGGGAAAAUACUCUGAAAAGAAAUGGAUAUACGUAUAUGUGCAACUGGAUCAUUUUGCCGAAUGACUUAACACAACGUGGUAAAUCAACCAUCCUCUAAUAUAAAAUAAAAUAAAAUUUAAUUUAAUAAAGGAAUUCCUGAUAGCCAGAAGGAGAGAAAAGACAGAUAUUUUUAAAGGAGUUGAGCUGAAGACCAAUUUUUCUGGUGAGCUUAGAGGUCUGAAACAAUAUUAUUUUAAUAUGUAAAUGAAGGGAAAUCAUUUCUGUAGGGGCUACUAAUAAGCUCUAUGUGGGAGAGAGCCAAAAUUAUCUGACCUUUUAUUCGUGAAACUGUGGGUUUGCUAAAUGAGCCUGGGCAUUUGCAAAGCAUGCUUGUUAUGAGAUGUUUCCUUCCCCAGGCUUCGUUUCUGAUAGCAGUCCAUUAAAAGGAUUAUACAUUCUCAUUAGCAGAUAUUAAUGUCCCUUGUGAAUGAUGCUCCCAGUUAAAACAGCAAGCUUCUGAGUUCUGUUUACUUUGGCCACUUAUUCUUAUUUUCUUAUCACCAAAUUUCAUUUUUGUGUUUUCAAGACUGUUAAGACUGUAUUCCCAUCUUUGGGAGAUGUGAAAGUUGAAGAGGGGAAGAUUUUGUUUCAAAACAAAAGAAUAUUUUUAGGAGACAGAGCAUGGUCUUAGGUGCGAAUGAGCUGGGGGAGGGAGGUGGUGAGUUCUGUAUUUCUGGAGUUUUCCCAGCUGAGGGUCAACAAGAACAACAGCAACACUGCGGCUGCAGAAAGGGCUGCAUCGCUUGUGGUUUCUAGUGACGAUUUCAUGAUUCGCUGAUCUUGUAGUUUCUGUCUCUGGGCAUGUUCUUUUGGUUGUUAAUUAAUCCCUGACAUGAAAAAAAUAACAAACAUUUAAAGCAGAAAAUAUUCAUAGUAUUUUUCCACAAGGGUGAGUCGACGGCUACCCUCCCUGCCCUGGCCCCUCGCUCACACCGUUUGCUGUUCUGGAAAUACUGGCAGUGGCAUUUGGCCUGAAAUAACUCCAGAGUCAAGAGAACAAGAUUGAACUUUCAGUGCCCAAGAUUUAUGCAUCAAAAAUGUCUAGGUCCCAAAGCAUGUUUUAUGAGAGUUAAAAUGGAAGAUGUAGUCCCUCUGCCUCAGGUGGCAAACAGGCCAUAUGUCUGGGAGAUUUACCUCUGCCCAGGCAUCCCCGGGCCUCCACCAGCCUCUGAACUCAGAGGAUCUCACCAGGAGGGCAGCGCACGCCAGCCCAGUCACCGGUACAACCGUGCUUGUAAUUACAGAGGGAUUCCAGCCUAACCAAGUGUUUAAAAAGAUAGAUGCAGGAAAAAAGGAGCAAAGUGACACAUGUUCAUCACAUAAUUAUUCAACAAUUGUACAUCUUCUCAAGCAACAACGAUGGGAAUUUAUCUUAAAAGGACUGGCAGCUGUAUGCACAGGAUCGAUGUCGAGUAAAGUCCCAAGACCACCCUUCCACCCACAGACCAGCCUGUUUCAUCCAAGAUUCAUGGAUUCUGGUAGCUUUCAGAUUCAGAAAUUUCAGGGACUUCAAUCUGGCUGCCACCUCCCAGUCCACUCCUGCUUUCUCUCUUCUCUUAUAAAGUCUUUGGUUUUAGUCACUUGGACUUUAUGGUUCCCUGUUUCUUAUUAUCCCGCCCAGGCAUAGCUAUAAUGAUUAACCCAUAGUAGGCAGGGAAGCCUGGUGUGCUGCAGUCUUUGGAGUUGCAGAGAGUCGGACACGACUUAGCAACUGAUCAACAAAGGCUGUUUGAUGUUGACUGUAUAACAUAACUCAUUUUGUUAAAUUGACCAAACCAUGCAUAUCUAUAGGAUGAGAAAAGUAAACACGUGGGAAGGAAGCAAUUCAUGUUCGUGUCUAGGUUGCGAAGGUUUACUUUAGGGUCUCUGGGAGAGACAGGGCAGAUGUAGUAACUGAGUGCAAGGAUUUCUGUAGGAAAGUCUUUCACAGGAUACAGUGUCUUUCAUUUGAGCUGAUUAAUGACUGUGUGUGGGAAUGUGUCUGGACAUCAACUGCUCCAGUACACAAGAACAUUACCAUUUGUCAGAAAGCCAUCUCUACAUAUUAUUUUCAAAUAAAGAUGACCAUUUUCAAAGGUAAUCUUUGAAAGAUUAGGUGCUUUCAAAGGUGCUUUCUUUAGAAAUCGCAAUCUACUCUGGAAGUGAGUUGAAAUCAAUAUCUUUGUUACCUGUUGCCAAAAGCAGAUCCAUAUGGGGGUUUCUCGAAGAGAGAAUCUGGGCUAUUUCUAAACACAUUUGUUUUUCUAUUAUGACUAUAAAGAAGCGCCUGAUUCCAGCACAUUCAUUUAACUAUUGGCUUCAAAAAGCCACAAGUGAUAGCUUCCCCUUUCUUCUUUUGUCCUGCCUCCAUUACUCACUUAGCGUGAGGAAAUAUUUCCAUUUCAGUUACAACUGCAAAUCAAUUAAGAGGUUCUCAUGGUUGAUUCAAUCAAUCAAAGUACCAACUGUUUAAACAGAGUCCCUUCUGGGUGAAUCUUUAUUAUUAUACUGGUUCAACAGAUCUUGACCCUCUUAGGGGUAUUAGAAAACUGAUAACCACCUUUUCUUUAGAGAGUUAUCCUCUAGCUGGGGAGACCAAAUAUAAACACACUGAAGCUAAUUAAAAACACUAGAUUUAAAUAGAAAUCUUCAAUAAAACAUGAGGUGUCACAUGGUGGAUGAUUAAUAUUUAACUGAAUAGUGAGGCUGACUCUAAGCUUCAGUGCUGGUGAUCUUUCAGAGAUAAAUGUCACCCUGAUAAUUGCUAGAGACAAUCGGAAGGGUCACGGUGGCUAGGCUGUGCCUACUUCCUUCAGCUACCUCACUUCUCUUGCCCCAUGACAGGUACCCACUCAAAAUAUCAUGUUCAGUCUUUGAAUUCUACUGCUGGGGAUGGAGCAAAGCCAGUCUCUGUAUGAACAGCUGAUGUAUUCCGGUGUUCAGAAAGAAGACUGCCUGAGUCAUGAUGGGCCAGAAAGGAGUUUCUUUUGGAGAAGGAAAUGAAACCCACUCCAGUGUUCUUGCCUGGAGAAUCCCAUGGAUGGAGGGACCUGGUGGGCUGCAGUCCAUGGGGUCGCGCAGAGUCGGACACGACUAAGCAACUAACUCUCACACACAGGUGACUUCAAAUUCUUGCCUCUAAUCGACACACAGGGUCUGUGCUCCUCCCUUUGAAUCUGACCUGGCCUUUUGCCUGAACUUGGCCAAGGCAGGGCAGUGGAAGGAUGUGAUAUAACAUCCACAGCUGGGCCUGCAUCUGAAGCUUCCUGCUUAGCUCCUCUUGAAACCCUCUCCUGGGAUCUGGCAGCUGUGUCAGGAGGCCCAAACUGGCUGAGUUGAGACAGGAAGUUCCUGCUCUGAGCCUCGCCUCCAGCACGACACCUGGGAAUGAAGCAGCCUGACUGCAACCCUGUGAUCCCAGCCUGGGUCUCUCGGGGCAAAAGAAGUGCCCGGCAGAGCCCAGAGUCUAAAUUCUUUAUUUACAGGCACAUGAACAGAUGAAAUGAUUGUCAUUUUAAGCCACAAAAAUUUGGGAGGAGUUACCCAGCAGAAAUAAAUCAUCCACCAGGAGCAGGCAGUAUCCAGUAGCUUUGUUCAUGCCUUGGUCACUGUUCUUGGCCAGUGAUCAAAUUUUCUGAAAUUUCAGCUACACUAAACAUGAUUGAAUGAGCAUUUUAAAUAUACUUAAUUAAAAUAGGAGGGCCAUGUCUUACUGUGAUUACAUUUGAAUUAUUUGGCAUACAUUUAUUGAACUAUCAAAAGCUAAUCGAUUGCCUCAAUAUUUUAUCUUGGUUCUACUGAAUCUAUAUUCUAAGCAGAAUUAUUAAUCCACUUCAUUUAAGUACAGUCAUAUUUGAUGAAAGUAGACAGAUAGAAUCAGUCUUGGGAUGGUGUGUCCAGAGUGAAGAACCGAGCUUCACGUCGUAGGAGCCCUCUGCCCUUCAUCGUCAGCAUAUCCUUUCAUUUUUCCUUGUUUUCAUCUAUCAUCUUCUGUUUUUAUUUCCAGAACACAGUGUUACUGUGUACUGAGGAUGAAAGUUUUGAGAAGGCUAUGAAGUACAAAGAGAAAAAAAGGAACAUUUUAAACAAAGACAAAUUUAAAACCCCAAACUCUUUGAAAUUUCAAAUAGUUUUCCCUCAUUCAAAAUCCAUAAGCCAUAAAUGAGGAGCCACCGGAGACAGUGGGAUCUCAUUGAGUGUUUUGCUGUGAAAGCAAGUCACAGGCUUGCUUUCUCCUUUCAAGUUGCCUGAUUUUCAUUUAGGGAGCUAUGAGCUAUUCUCCCCGUUAUUACCAAAAUUGAUUUUGAGUCUGCAUCUGAAGCAUUAUCCACUGCUUCUCUGAGGAAGAUGGAAUAUAUAUUUAUCAAAAUGUCCUAGCUGAAUAAAAGCUAAGUAAAAGCUGGUAACACCAAUGCCAGCAUAUGUGUAUUUUUAAGCAGAAGAACCAUCCUUUCGGUUCAAAAUGUCUUCCUUCCCUUCUCAUCUGUAAGGAAAAGCCCUUCAUAAGGUCCAGUCCUCCCGUGAAGGGAACAGGUGCUAUGAGUAAUAGAUGUCUGAGAAGAUUGUCUGAAAUGACAGGGACACCUGUAAGGGACAAUUGGCAUGCUGUUGGAAUUUCUCCAGAUAAUGACAUUACACAGACUCCUAAAAUGUCAGACAUAAAAUAAUAAACAGGACUCUGCAUGUGGUUGUUCUUUCUAAGCGAAUAGAGCCAUCUAUGGAUCAACUCUUUAUUUCUCUGGAUUCUGUCAGAAUGAUGCUCUAUAGUCAGAAGCUCUUUACUUCACAAAAUACUGCACAGGCAAGCAUUUCUUCCUCUCCACAGUAUUAAUUAAAUUACAUAAAACUGGCAGUGUUUAAAUCCUGGCAUCUGUAUUGUCUCACUUAAUUACACCCCUGGACUCCUUUCAAAAUUCUUUCAUUUGCUACAGGGACACCUAUUGGCCAAAGGGGAGGAAAUCAGAUACAAGUGAUGAGAUACGACUCGGGAUUUCUACCUGGCCCGCCACCCACAGCGAGGAAGGCUCUCCUUCCGUCUGUCUGUCUGCGGCAUUCCCAAUCCCGUGCUCUGCAGCAGAGGGAAAAAGUCACCAUGAUAGAAACUCAUUGGAAAUUAAGUAAACUUCAUAAAUAAAACACUUUUGAACAUUCUUUCACCUUAAAAAAAAAUACAUGAAGAUCAUAAAGUGGAAUGUGGCUUACCAUGCCCAAUUUCAGCAUUCUGUGUGUGCCAGAUAAGCAUGGGCAUGGGAGAAGCAUCAAUAAGCUUGCCACAAGCACCCUGCUCAGAAGAUUGCUGUAAGCUCAGGUCAGCAGAGGUGAUCCAGGCCUGGAAGGAUCACUCCUCUGGGCAGAGCACGUGGACAGAACAUCUUCAUGACAGAAGAACCAGCUGCCCGGCUCCAGGUGCCGGAUAAAGAGAGGUGCUCAGUCUGCUCAGUGGUGUCCGACUCUUUGCGACCCCCAUGGACUGUAUGUAGCCUGCCAGGCUCCUCUGUCCAUGGGAUUCUCCAGGCAAGAAUACUGGAGUGGGUUGCCAUUUCCUUCUCCUGGGGAUUUUCCUGACCCAGAGAUUGAACCUGUGUCUCUAAAGUCUCCUGCAUUGGCAGGCAGGCUCUUUACCACUAGCGCCACCUAGGAAGCCCCAUGGUAAAGAGUUAUUGCCAGUAAAAGGCAAAGGUAAGUGAAGCCCACAAGAUUAUUUUUGGUAAAUUCUUUCUCUCUCUCUCUUUUUAAUUGAUUUGUCCAAAAACCAAAUUAAUUUCUGUUCUGGGUCUACUUGUUUUACUUUUUAAAAUAUUUUCAUGCAUGGCUGCCAUCUGAGCCAGAAAUCUGACAUCAUCUUUAAUCUGUUUCCUCUUCCCCUUCGUGCAACCCCUGAUUUCAGCAUCUGCUGUCUUACGUGUCUCUCCUCACUGCCUCCUCUGCAGUUUGGACAGUUACACUCAGUCGGGCUGGGUCUUUUCUAGAUCAAAGGAUCUUUUGGCUCUUUCCCUGCUCUCUGAAUCUGCCCAAUGAUCUUUCCAAAGUGUGAAUCUUGGGUGGUUACUCCUCAAUGGCUCCAAAUUGCCAACCACAAUAAAAUCCAAACUGCUUUGCAUAGAAAUUGAGACCCUCCAUGAUCCGGACUUUGAUUCCCUCAUCAACCUCAUUUCUCUCUCUAUUAAAUUGUUCACUGUUGUUGAACCACUGAAAUGGGAUCUAUAGACUGAAGCUUGAAAAUUGAUACUUCUCUUCCACUGAGAAAACACAGUGAAAAUUUGAUUGGAUUUUAUUCUUUGUAGGAAAACUUUGAAGAGAGAAAAGUCCUAAAUUUGAUUAAAAAACAAAAUGUUACUUGUUGUAAUGCAAA